rnacentral:rRNA from 1 species
GGACGAACGCUGGCGGCGUGCUUAACCCAUGCAAGUCGAACGGAAAGGCCCUGCUUUUGUGGGGUGCUCGAGUGGCGAACGGGUGAGUAACACGUGAGUAACCUGCCCUUGACUUUGGGAUAACUUCAGGAAACUGGGGCUAAUACCGGAUAGGAGCUCCUGCUGCAUGGUGGGGGUUGGAAAGUUUCGGCGGUUGGGGAUGGACUCGCGGCUUAUCAGCUUGUUGGUGGGGUAGUAGCUUACCAAGGCUUUGACGGGUAGCCGGCCUGAGAGGGUGACCGGCCACAUUGGGACUGAGAUACGGCCCAGACUCCUACGGGAGGCAGCAGUGGGGAAUAUUGCACAAUGGGCGGAAGCCUGAUGCAGCAACGCCGCGUGCGGGAUGACGGCCUUCGGGUUGUAAACCGCUUUCGCCUGUGACGAAGCGUGAGUGACGGUAAUGGGUAAAGAAGCACCGGCUAACUACGUG